rnacentral:lncRNA from 1 species
GUAACUCCCACAUGACUAAAAACCCAAAAGACAUGUAACUUCUCACCAUACUAAUAUGCAAUUACAGAAAAUCAAACCAUAAGUUACUAAUAUUAAAAAACAAGUUUAAUAACCAACACCCCUCCUUAAAUUUGGUUUUGCAACUCCAAGCAAACUCCUUAACUUGCAAAAAGUUUCACUCUUGAGGGGCUUAGUGAAAAUAUCGGCAAUUUGAUCUUGAGACUUCAUGUACUUGAGCUUCACUUCCUUCCUAGCCAUAC